CUUCUUUUUCUGGUGGUUGAGUACUCAUGCUCUAAUUUUUUAGUAUUAUAAUUCAACAAGUUGAAUAGGAAGAUCUGACGC
rfam:Eucalyptus grandis cultivar BRASTZ1 unplaced genomic scaffold scaffold_4, whole genome shotgun sequence.